GGGGUUGUUACGGAUUCGACAGGCGUAGAUUGAGCUUGGGUUGCGUUCCGCAGGUGACGAGACUGCGUAUCAACGUCACAGUUAAAUAUAACUGCAAACAAUAAUAACAAUAACUACGCUUUAGCUGCGUAAUAACAGCUUAGCGUGAUCCGACCGGCAUCGCCCAUGUGCUCGGUAUCGGGUCCUAUAAUAAGUGGGAUACGCUUAGUCUUUCCGUCUGUAAGACUAAGAAGAGAUCAUCAGACUAGCAACGCAUGAUGCCCGUUUUACGGCUGAUGCUGAGCGAAACUUUAAAUAGUAAAACUAUGAACGUAGAUACUUGAGUGUCGAUAUGUCUGGACAGGGGUUCGACUCCCCUCAACUCCAUAC
rnacentral:tmRNA from 1 species